CGGACGGGUGAGUAAUGCCUAGGAAUCUGCCUGGUAGUGGGGGAUAACGUCCGGAAACGGGCGCUAAUACCGCAUACGUCCUGAGGGAGAAAGUGGGGGAUCUUCGGACCUCACGCUAUCAGAUGAGCCUAGGUCGGAUUAGCUAGUUGGUGGGGUAAAGGCCUACCAAGGCGACGAUCCGUAACUGGUCUGAGAGGAUGAUCAGUCACACUGGAACUGAGACACGGUCCAGACUCCUACGGGAGGCAGCAGUGGGGAAUAUUGGACAAUGGGCGAAAGCCUGAUCCAGCCAUGCCGCGUGUGUGAAGAAGGUCUUCGGAUUGUAAAGCACUUUAAGUUGGGAGGAAGGGCAGUAAGUUAAUACCUUGCUGUUUUGACGUUACCAACAGAAUAAGCACCGGCUAACUUCGUGCCAGCAGCCGCGGUAAUACGAAGGGUGCAAGCGUUAAUCGGAAUUACUGGGCGUAAAGCGCGCGUAGGUGGUUCAGCAAGUUGGAUGUGAAAUCCCCGGGCUCAACCUGGGAACUGCAUCCAAAACUACUGAGCUAGAGUACGGUAGAGGGUGGUGGAAUUUCCUGUGUAGCGGUGAAAUGCGUAGAUAUAGGAAGGAACACCAGUGGCGAAGGCGACCACCUGGACUGAUACUGACACUGAGGUGCGAAAGCGUGGGGAGCAAACAGGAUUAGAUANCCUGGUAGUCCACGCCGUAAACGAUGUCGACUAGCCGUUGGGAUCCU
rnacentral:rRNA from 1 species